rnacentral:piRNA from 1 species
GGAAGAAAAACGAGGUGGGAUG